rnacentral:lncRNA from 10 species
GGAUGCUGUGGGUUCCCCUCCCUCACUGUGAGGCCCCUCCCAUAGGGACCAAGGCCCCCAGGAACUUCCUGUUCUAGGACACCCCCAGCAAGUCAGGGCCCCUCCUGACCAGGGACCAAGGCUUCGGAGAAGACUCUGGAGAAGGCUCGGAGGAAACUGGGAAGCUGGUUCUUUGGCCCAAAGUGCUUUUACAGCCUACCUGUAUUUUACCGGCCCUCCUAGACGGGGGGAACUCCCCUGUCCUCUGCAGGAAUGUCAAAAGCCACCCAUCUUUAACCACCUAAUGCUCCCAUCAGCAGAGAGGCACACAGCACAGUGAACGUCGAGCAUGCACACCAGGAAGCCCAGGUUCGAGUUCUGACCGUCACUUACUGGUGGUAAUCUGUCCAGUCUUCCCCAUCUCAGCUAAUGCCAAUCCAUCCAUCCAGAUGCUGAGUGUGACAACCUAGAAGCCUCCCUGACCUCUGUCUUUCACUCACCGCAUCCGGUGUAUCAGCAAAUCCUCUGGGCUCUUCCUUCACAAUAUCUCCAGAUAAGACCAUUUCUCACCACCUCCAGGAUGCCCAUCUACCACCAUGGUGCAAGCACUCAAUCUGCUGCCUGGAUGACUGCAAGUGUCUCCUAACAGGACUCCUGGCUUGCACCAUUGCCUCUUCACUAUGUCCUCUCAACUAAGCCAGAAUGCUCUUUUUAAAGUGUUUGUCAGAUAAAGCACCUUGCAAAUCCUUCAGGGCCUCCCUGUGUCUCUCAGAGGGAAGUCCUCAUCCUUCCAAUGGCCUUGAGGCUGCAGACCCAGUGGCUCUCUGUGGCCUGACGUCCUCCCCUAUACCUCCCCACUCGGCCACAUUGGCCUGGCCACACAGCCACACUCCACAUCAUGCAGCAUGGCUGACUGUUCCCUAGGCUAAAAUGCUCUUCCCCACAUCCGUGUUGCUCAUUCCCUCACCUCCUUCAAAUCUUUACUCAAAUGUCAUAUUUUCAGUGAUGCCAGCUCUGGCCAUCUUAACUAAAAGGCUAAUUUGGUGCCUCUUUACCCUGAGCUGAGGAUCCUCCCUAGAAUGAUCACAUUCUGGCAUGCUCAACAAUUCCCUUGUUUAUUACACUGAUUACACUGAUUUUCUGGCCCCUCUUGCUGCAAUGCAGAAUCCUUAAGGGCAGGGAUGUUUGUCUAUUGUGUUCCUUGAUAAGUAGAACAGAACAGGGCUGGCAUAGAGAAGACGUGCGGUGAGUUUGUUGAAAAAAACAAAUACAUGAAGAAAUAAAUACAUGAAAACAAAUAUUGUGAAGGGCAUUGUGUACCAAGGCAAGGGGUACAUAGUAAGUCUGGUGUGUGAGGUCAAAAGGGAAAUCCAUGAAAGAUUUUUAGAAAAUAUAAUGGGCUGUAUAGUAGGUGAAUUAAUCUGGUAACAAUUUGAAGAACAAAGUAUAAUAGCAGAAAAAGAGUCAGGACACUUGCUGGAAUGUGGUGGCCCAGGAAAGAAGCAAAGGCCUGAAAUAGGUCAGUGGUGGUGCAAGUGGAAACCAGGGGCCCUGAGGAUCUUGGACUUACCUGGUUUAUUGAUAUAAUAUAGAUGAAAGAAAGAAAUAGAAAUCAAAUCUAUUUCCCAAACUUUGAUGGGAAAGUCCCAUUAAAUGGCAAGAACCACAGUAACUUUUGCACCAACCUAAUAUAUUAUAUUAUCAGGUUUAUAAAUAGGUAACACAUUUAGACAUUAGAUUUAACAUAUUUAAUAGCCCAACUUUUAUUUGAAAUAUAAACUAGGGUCUGAAUGUUCUCAGGUACAACUUUCAAACUGAGGUUUUGUCUAUAGAAUAAAAAAAUUAAAAAUUCAUUUGGGCUCACGCCUGUAACCCCAGCUACUUGGGAGGUCAAGGCAGGAAGAUCACUUGAGUCCAGAAGUUCGAGACCAACCUGGGCGGCAUAGUGGGAUCCUGCCUCUAGAAAAAAAAAAUCAAGAUGUGAACUUGACUUAAGAAGAAAAUAUACCAGAGGCAAUUCUAGAGCAAAAAUUAUAUGAAAUUACCAGUACCCAUAAAAUGACUC